UAAGUGGAAGCUAAUAAGCACCUAUCUGUUAAUUAGGCUCCUGCUGCGCACAUAGCAGCCCACUUAG
rnacentral:tRNA from 1 species